rnacentral:rRNA from 1 species
GACAGAGGUCCCGAGCGUUGUUCGGAUUUAUUGGGCGUAAAGAGCGUGUAGGCGGCCAGACAGGUCCGUUGUGAAAACUCGAGGCUCAACCUCGAGACGCCGAUGGAAACCGUUUGGCUAGAGUCCGGAAGAGGAGAGUGGAAUUCCUGGUGUAGCGGUGAAAUGCGCAGAUAUCAGGAAGAACACCCGUGGCUAAGGCGGCUCUCUAGUACGGUACUGACGCUGAGACGCGAAAGCGUGGGGAGCGAACAGG